GGACCUGCCGCCUGGAGAGGAGUCCGCGUCCCAUCAGCUUGUUGGUGAGGUCACGGCUCACCAAGGCUUACGGGUAGCUGGUCUGAGAGGAUGGUCAGCCACACUGGGACUGAGACACUGCCCAGACUCCUACGGGAGGCUGCAGUCGAGGAUCAUUCGCAAUGCGCGAAAGCGUGACGAUGCGACGCUGCGUGGAGGAUGACGGCCUUCGGGUUGUAAACUCCUGUCAUGAGGGAAAAGCUGUCCGGCCGUGAAUACCGGUUGGAUUCGAUGGUACCUCAAGAGGAAGCCACGGCUAACUCUGUGCCAGCAGCCGCGGUAAUACAGAGGUGGCGAGCGUUGUUCGGAUUUACUGGGCGUAAAGCGUGCGUAGGUGGUUUCGUGUGUCGGACGUGAAAUCCCGCUGCUCAACGGCGGAACUGCGUUCGAAACUGCGGGACUGGAGUGCAGGAGGGGAGAGCGGAAUUCUUGGUGUAGCGGUGAAAUGCGUUGAUAUCAAGAAGAACACCGGUGGCGAAGGCGGCUCUCUGGAAUGUUACUGACGCUGAGGCACGAAAGCUGGGGGAGCAAACAGGAUUAGAUACCCUGGUAGUCCCAGCCGUAAACGGUGCGCACUUGGUGUUGGAGGUAUUGACCCCUUCAGUGCCGGAGCUAACGCGUUAAGUGCGCCGCCUGGGGAGUACGGCCGCAAGGCUAAAACUCAAAGAAAUUGACGGGGGCCCGCACAAGCGGAGGAGCAUGUGGCUUAAUUCGAUGCAACGCGAAGAACCUUACCAGGGCUUGACAUGCAGCUGCACGCCCCGUGAAAGCGGGGAAGCCUUCGAGGGUGCUGCACAGGUGCUGCAUGGCUGUCGUCAGUUCGUGCCGUGAGGUGUUGGGUUAAGUCCCGCAACGAACGCAACCCCUGUGUCUAGUUGCCACCGCAGGUGAUGAGCCUGCGAGCACUCUAGACAGACUGCCCGUACAAGCGGGAGGAAGGUGGGGAUGACGUCAAGUCAGUAUGGCCCUUACGUCCUGGGCUGCACACGUGCUACAAUGGCCGGUACAGAGGGAUGCAAUGCCGCGAGGUGGAGCAAAUCCCCAAAGCUGGCCCCAGUUCGGAUUGGAGUCUGCAACUCGACUCCAUGAAGUUGGAUUCGCUAGUAACGGCGUAUCAGCUACGGCGCCGUGAAUACGUUCCCGGGCCUUGUACACACCGCCCGUCAC
rnacentral:rRNA from 1 species